GGUAUUGCAUCUUCCAGAACUCCCUACCUCCAUCUCUCUACUCCUAUACCUCUAUCUCUCUAGCUCGGUACCUCCAUUUCUCAAACACGGCAACUAUAUCCCUCAAAAUCACUGUAAUCUACACCCCGGCCAUGGACAAUAACGGGUUGAUGUAUAGCAUAUCUUGGAAGAUCAAAUAUCGGGUUCUCUUGGAAGAUCAAGCACAAUUAACAGAAUUCCUAACACAGACGAUUGGCAGAUGUAGUCCCAAUCUUGGAUUUACGGACAAAAAUGGAGUUUCUACCUAAUUUAGGAGUUAGCUGAGCUCAAGACAACAGUUAUAAAAAAGAUAAGACUCAAGGGCUGUUGGAUUGUUACAACCAGAUAACUCAGAAAGAACAUCAGCAACUGUGAAUAAUAAGGAAGGAGACGUACCUGUUCAUCGUGGAGUACAAUCCCCCUUUCCUCUCCAUCACUAAGUACGUACGUACAACCCUUACCUUGAUAGGGCUCUUAUUCCUGAAGGUUGAUCAAUCACCAGCAAGAACGUACAUCCCCAUAUUGGAAGAACACUCUUUUGUUCUGAUAAAAUAGUACUUUUGCGAUUGUUUGUAUUGAGUGAUUAAACCUGUAUUAUAUAGGCUUCAGUUGUAGAUAGGCCAAGAGUUUCAGACCUAAAUGGUCUCUGCAAUAGUCUUAAUUACCAUAGCCUUAAAUGUUGUCAUUGAGAACCGAAUCGUUCGAUUCAUUAAACCUGCAAAAUGUGUUGCUUCAUUAAUCCAUGUCUUCAAUUAAUAAUAUAUCGGGUGCUGAUAUAUUACCACCCAA